rnacentral:rRNA from 1 species
AAAUUGAAGAGUUUGAUCAUGGCUCAGAUUGAACGCUGGCGGCAGGCCUAACACAUGCAAGUCGAACGGUAACAGGAAACAGCUUGCUGUUUCGCUGACGAGUGGCGGACGGGUGAGUAAUGUCUGGGAAACUGCCCGAUGGAGGGGGAUAACUACUGGAAACGGUAGCUAAUACCGCAUAACGUCGCAAGACCAAAGAGGGGGACCUUAGGGCCUCUUGCCAUCGGAUGUGCCCAGAUGGGAUUAGCUAGUAGGUGGGGUAAAGGCUCACCUAGGCGACGAUCCCUAGCUGGUCUGAGAGGAUGACCAGCCACACUGGAACUGAGACACGGUCCAGACUCCUACGGGAGGCAGCAGUGGGGAAUAUUGCACAAUGGGCGCAAGCCUGAUGCAGCCAUGCCGCGUGUAUGAAGAAGGCCUUCGGGUUGUAAAGUAC